CAAAGAUGCUGCCGAGCUGCUGGUUUAAUUUGCCUUUUAGAGGCGUGUUAGGGAAGGCAUCUGGUUCCAAUCGUGCUGCCCCUUUGAAAGGCCGUUCUCAUUUGUCUGCAACUUCUCUGAAAGGUGAUCAGCCUGGGUGUUGGGAAAAUAUGAAAUCCAGAUCUUUGGAGCAUGCAGAGCAACAGGAGCGCCACCAGCAGCAACGCCUGUCGAUGAAAGCUGCUAAGCUGGAAUUGUUAGAAAAUGCAGGUCUGCAAGAGAGUGGAUGUCCAAGUGCCAUCAGAAAGUCAGGACCCAUCCUUGGAGUGGAAGUUUGAGUCUUAAUGAAGAGGUUCCAGGCAGUGCAAAUGAGAGCUGCUGCACGACCACUCGGAGCAUUAAUGUUAUUAUAGGAGUUCCAUGGGGACCCAUUCAGGAUGGAGAAUCAUCUUAAAGGGAGAUGUGGAGUCUCUCUGCUUCUGCAGGUUAACAGCUGACCUUUUAAUGCUCCAUCUGUACAGUCUGAUCCAGUGCAAAUGUUUUGAUCAUUUAAUAUCAUAAACAUAGAAAGAAUUUGGGAGAAAAUUAUGUUCUUUUAGCUGCAACCCAAUGUUUAUUUGCUCUGUUUGGCUAACUCCUAUUCCUUUUUGUGGUAAGCAGGCUCAGGUUAUGCAAGGCUGGGUUAAGGAUUCCCCUGAGCUGCAAGUGUG
rnacentral:lncRNA from 1 species